ensembl:ncRNA
UGACUAGAUUUCAUGCUCGUCU